AUUGAACGCUGGCGGCAUGCCUUACACAUGCAAGUCGAACGGCAGCACGGGUGCUUGCACCUGGUGGCGAGUGGCGAACGGGUGAGUAAUACAUCGGAACAUGUCCUGUAGUGGGGGAUAGCCCGGCGAAAGCCGGAUUAAUACCGCAUACGAUCUACGGAUGAAAGCGGGGGACCUUCGGGCCUCGCGCUAUAGGGUUGGCCGAUGGCUGAUUAGCUAGUUGGUGGGGUAAAGGCCUACCAAGGCGACGAUCAGUAGCUGGUCUGAGAGGACGACCAGCCACACUGGGACUGAGACACGGCCCAGACUCCUACGGGAGGCAGCAGUGGGGAAUUUUGGACAAUGGGCGAAAGCCUGAUCCAGCAAUGCCGCGUGUGUGAAGAAGGCCUUCGGGUUGUAAAGCACUUUUGUCCGGAAAGAAAUCCUUGGCCCUAAUACGGUCGGGGGAUGACGGUACCGGAAGAACAAGCACCGGCUAACUACGUG
rnacentral:rRNA from 1 species